UACAGAGGUCCCAAGCGUUGUUCGGAUUCACUGGGCGUAAAGGGUGCGCAGGUGGCCGCGCAAGUUCGAUGUGAAAGCCCCGGGCUUAACCCGGGAAUGGCAUUGAAAACUGCGUGGCUGGAGGAUCGGAGGGGGGACUGGAAUUCUUGGUGUAGCAGUGAAAUGCGUAGAUAUCAAGAGGAACACCGGUGGCGAAGGCGGCCUGCUGGGCAGUGGCUGACACUGAGGCGCGACAGCGUGGGGAGCAAACAGG
rnacentral:rRNA from 1 species